ensembl:snRNA U6 U6 spliceosomal RNA
GUGUUCCCUUUGGCAGUGCAUAUACUAAAAUAGGAACCAUACAGAGCAGGUCAGCAAGAUCCCUGCGCAGCAACGACAUAAAAACUCAUAAAGUGUUCCAGCAUUUU